rnacentral:rRNA from 1 species
ACGAACGCUGGCGGCAUGCCUAACACAUGCAAGUCGCACGAGACCUUCGGGUCUAGUGGCGCACGGGUGCGUAACGCGUGGGAACCUGCCUUUAGGUUCGGAAUAACUCAGAGAAAUUUGAGCUAAUACCGGAUGAUGUCUUCGGACCAAAGAUUUAUCGCCUUUAGAUGGGCCCGCGUUGGAUUAGCUAGUUGGUGGGGUAAAGGCCUACCAAGGCGACGAUCCAUAGCUGGUCUGAGGGGAUGAUCAGCCACACUGGGACUGAGACACGGCCCAGACUCCUACGGGAGGCAGCAGUGGGGAAUAUUGGACAAUGGGCGAAAGCCUGAUCCAGCAAUGCCGCGUGAGUGAUGAAGGCCUUAGGGUUGUAAAGCUCUUUUACCCGAGAUGAUAAUGACAGUAUCGGGAGAAUAAGCUCCGGCUAACUCCGUG